CCGAGUUAAGGCGCCGAAAUCGACGCGUAUUCAGAGACCAUGAAAGGCGUUGGUUGCUGAUGACAGCAGGACGGUGGCCAUGGAAGUCGGAAUCCGCUAAGGAGUGUGUAACAACUCACCUGCCGAAGCAACUAGCUCUGAAAAUGGAUGGCGCUGGAGCGUCGUGCCUAUACUCGGCCGUCGACGGCAUAGUGGGGCCAGUCGUCGCUCGCGGCGGCCGGUCCCGGCAAGCCUCGACGAGUAGGAUGGCGCGGCGGUGUGCGUCGAAGGGCAGGUCGCGAGACCGCCUGGAGCCGCCGUCGGUGCAGAUCUUGGUGGUAGUAGCAAAUACUCGAGAGGGGCCCUCGGGGGCUGCCGUGGAGAAGGGUUUCUUGUGAACAGCCGUUGUCCAAGAGUCAGUCGAUCCUAAGCCCGGGGAGAGAUCCUCGUACCACGGGCGAAGGCGUUUUCGAAUCGCCCUUGGGGCGAGAGGGAAUCCGGUUCGUAUUCCGGAACCCGACGCGGAACCGCUCCCUAGUGUUCGGGGCUCUUUUGUCUCGUCUGGGUAACCAGAAUGAACUCGAAGAAGCCGCCGGGGGAUCUGGGUAGAGUUCUCUUUUCUCUGUGAGCGUUGUACGUCCCUGGAAAUCCUCUAGCCGGGCGAUAGGGACGCGAGCGCGAAGAGCACCGCUCGUUGCGGCGGUGUCCGUGAUCCCCACGCGGACCUUGAAAAUUCGAGAGAGGGCCACGCGGAGUCUUCGCGUCGGUUCGUACCGAUAUCCGCAGCAGGUCUCCGAGGUGAGCAGCCUCUAGCCGCAUAGAAUAAUGUAGGUAAGGGAAGUCGGCAAAACCGAUCCGUAACUUCGGGAUAAGGAUUGGCUCUGAGGAGCGUGGCUGCCGGGUUCGGGUCGUCGUAGAAGCGUAGGCGUUUUUGGCGACACCCCGGCCGUCGCCCGUGCGCCCGGUCUUCGGAACGGGAGCCUCGAGGCGGCCGCGGGCCCGUCGCCGUCCGCCGACCGUGGAACCACCGAGCUUCGGUCGCUGGCCGCGUCGCGGCCGGCCGACCGCCUUGGUGUCGGUUCGCCGUCACCGGGCGGUCCGGCCGCCGCGCCGUCGGUCGCGUAGCCGGAUCGACAGCCAUGUAACGGUCAACUCAGAACUGGCACGGACCAGGGGAAUCCGACUGUCUAAUUAAAACAAAGCAUCGCGAUGGCCCG
rnacentral:ncRNA from 1 species